rnacentral:lncRNA from 1 species
CGGACACACAACUGAUUUUCUGAAUUUAUUUUUUGACCAUCUUGUAGAGUCUCUGCAUCCCGUAGUCAAAAUAAGUGCCAUAUUUUUUGGGAUUUUUUUUUUUUUUAAUCUCGCACAAACCCUUCCUACGAGUCUACAACCGAAAGUCAUUUCUGUUUCGACAGAAUUUUCUCGUACGAUUAGCUUCUCCGUCUUCUUGACCAGAUCUUCAUGCCGUAGACUGAGAAUGACACAUUUUCCUCCGAGGAGAACGGCGUGACAAGAGAACUGAAAAAAAAAACGUGAGCGAUGCAGACGUUCGAGGCACUGUGAUGGCUGUGGACGCAGCCGGUCUGUGAGUUUAUGAAAAAAAGCUGGACACAGCGGGAGGUCAGCUGUCACUCCUCCGACUCUUUUCCUGCAAUUUCGUUACACGCGCUCUUAAACCUCCCUCAGAAGCACCCGCUUACCACCACCUGCUCAGUCUGACGGAACCUGGCCAGGCCAGGCUGAACCUCCCACCCAUAUCGCCAUGGUAUUCUGUGUACACGGCCGCCCCCGGCCCCAGCACCUGCACUGACUUACCUGGGCUGGUGUGGGUGCUGGGACACCAAGAGGCAGCUCUGUCCAGCCCGGGUGGGAGCUUCAUGCAGCCCCAGGUGGGAGCUCCGUGCAGCCCAGGUGGGAGCUUCAUGCAGCCCCAGGUGGGAGCUUCAUGCAGCCCAGGUGGGAGCUCCGUCCAGCCCAGGUGGGAGCUCCAUCCAGCCCCAGGUGGGAGCUCGGUCCAGCCCAGGUGGGAGCUCGGUCCAGCCCAGGUGGGAGCUCGGUCCAGCCCAGGUGGGAGCUCCAUCCAGCCCAGGUGGGAGCUCCGUCCAGCCCAGGUGGGAGCUCCAUCCAGCCCAGGUGGGAGCUCGGUCCAGCCCCAGGUGGGAGCUCCAUCCAGGCCCAGGUGGGAGCUUCAUGCAGCCCCAGGUGGGAGCUCCGUCCAGCCCAGGUGGGAGCUCCAUCCAGCCCCAGGUGGGAGCUCCAUCUAGGCCCAGGUGGGAGCUCCAUCCAGGCCCAGGUGGGAGCUUCAUGCAGCCCCAGGUGGGAGCUUCAUGCAGCCCCAGGUGGGAGCUUCAUGCAGCCCAGGUGGGAGCUCCAUCCAGGCCCAGGUGGGAGCUUCAUGCAGCCCCAGGUGGGAGCUCCAUCCAGCCCCAGGUGGGAGCUCCAUCCAGGCCCAGGUGGGAGCUUCAUGCAGCCCCAGGUGGGAGCUCCAUCCAGCCCCAGGUGGGAGCUUCAUGCAGCCCCAGGUGGGAGCUUCAUGCAGCCCAGGUGGGAGCUCCGUCCAGCCCAGGUGGGAGCUCCAUCCAGCCCCAGGUGGGAGCUUGGUCCAGCCCAGGUGGGAGCUCCAUCCAGCCCAGGUGGGAGCUCGGUCCAGCCCAGGUGGGAGCUCCAUGCAGCCCCAGGUGGGAGCUCCAUCCGGACCCAGGUGGGAGCUCCAUCCAGCCCCAGGUGGGAGCUUCAUGCAGCCCAGGUGGGAGCUC